rnacentral:rRNA from 1 species
UAACUUAGUGGCGGACGGGUGAGUAACGCGUGGUAACCUGCCUUACACAGGGGGAUAACACUUAGAAAUAGGUGCUAAUACCGCAUAAGCGCACAGUCCCGCAUGGGACAGAGUGAAAAACAUUAGUGGUGUAAGAUGGACCCGCGUCUGAUUAGCUUGUUGGCGGGGUAACGGCCCACCAAGGCGACGAUCAGUAGCCGGCCUGAGAGGGUGGACGGCCACAUUGGGACUGAGACACGGCCCAAACUCCUACGGAAGGCAGCAG